AAUCAACGCUGGCGGCGUGCCUCAGACAUGCAAGUCGAACGCGAAAUUUCCCUUCGGGGAGAAAGUAGAGUGGCGCACGGGUGAGUAACACGUAGGUAAUUUGCCUUUGGGUGGGGAAUAACUCAGGGAAACUUGAGCUAAUACCGCAUAAUGCAGCGGCUCGACAUCGAGACAGUUGUUAAAGCGGGGGAUUGGAGCAAUCCGACCUCGCGCCUAAAGAGAAGCCUGCGGCAGAUUAGCUAGUUGGUAAGGUAAUGGCUUACCAAGGCGACGAUCUGUAACCGGCCUGAGAGGGCGGUCGGUCACACUGACACUGACAUACGGGUCAGACUCCUACGGGAGGCAGCAGUCGGGAAUUUUGGGCAAUGGGCGCAAGCCUGACCCAGCAACGCCGCGUGAAGGAUG
rnacentral:rRNA from 1 species